UUGCAGCAGCAGCUGACGUUAAAACUUAUCUGGAUAUUCAACGAUUUUUCUAAGAGAAAGGUAACAGAGCUAACCCAGAUAGCAACAGGAUCCGGGCCGAUUCUGGUUUAUAUUUGGCACUGUCGGUUCACUUUCGGCAUUAGUUAGUGGCAUGUUGGCCGAGCUUUUGCCGAAAGCUAUAUUUCAGAAAAGAGAGAUAUUUCGGCUGACUUCUGGCAUGUACGUGGUUAACCAAAAGAGGGCGGGAAAAACAGAAAGGAGGGACCUGUUACGAGAAGAGGGAGGUUCGCUGUGGCCUGGGAAAUAUUGUGAGAUCUGAAAAGACCUGCAGUCAUACUUCUGUUUGUUCACAAGUAAGGGGUGUCCCAUCUUAUCCAGUAAGAGCCAGUGUAGUUGCCAGUUUUCAUGUGAACAAAACCAAACAAAAGUGCAUAAUGGAACACAGGUGGGCAUACAGUGAGCGCAGUAACAUGCGCAAGAGAGCUGUUAAAAGGGUCAAUGACAUGAUAACAGCCUUGGACAGGGACAUAUCUGCUAGCUUGGGGGUUGACCAAACCCAGGAGGAAAGUGUAGUAGCAAGCUGUAGUUAUGCCACUAGUGAGUUUGCUGACAUUUAUGGAAGUGAAGAGGAGGUUGGUUGUGAAAUAGAAAGUGAAACUAGUGACUGUGAAGAUUCACCACCUAGUGAUUUGAGAAGCUCUUUGUCAGACUGGGCAGUUGAGUUUGGUGUUUCAUUGGUUGCGCUUUCGGCACUUCUGUCUAUACUUAGCGUCACCAUCCUUUUCUCCCAAAAGACGGCAGAUCAUUGCUUAAAACAAAAACGCAGUAUGUUGUGGAAAAUAUAGCAGGUGGCUCCUUCUACUAUUUUGGUAUAUUAAGUACUCUUGGCAAAAUAUUUCAUGAAAUUGCUUCUAAAGUUCCCAACAGACAUACAUUUAAAUUGCAGCUAAUUUUUAAAUUACAGUUUUGAUGGUCUGCCGUUGUUUAAAAGUUCAUCUGUUCAGUUCUGGCCAGUACUGGGAAAGUUGCAGGAAUAUGCUACACAAGGACCAGUAUUAAUUGCUGUGUUCUGUGGUGAAUCAAAGCCAACUUCAUUGUCUGAGUACCUUAAUUCUCUUGUAAAAGAGUUAAAAACCUUGAGUAAUGGGUUCAUCAUGGGUGGAAAGGUUUUUUUUGUCAAGGUAGCUUCAGUUAUAUGUGACGCUCCAGCUAGAGCCUUCAUUAAAGGUGUCAAAUCUCACACUGGUUAUGUGGGAUGUGACAAGUGUGUUCAGGCAGGUGUUUACUUGAAUCACCUUUCCUGAGACUCAUGCUGCUUGUAGGACUGAUGAGUCUUUUAGGGUCAGUGCUGAUGAAGACCACCAUUUACAGCAAUCACCUUUGUUGGAAAUAGACAUUGGCAUGAUUAGUUGUUUUCCUCAUGAUUAUAUGCAUUUAGUAUGUCUUGGCGUGGUGCGAAAGUGUUUGGAUCUCUGGAUGGGUAGUACUGGGCCUCUACGGUGUCGUAUGUCCACACGUGAGAGUGAUGCAGUUUCUGAAAGGUUAAUGGCUUUGAUAAGUUUUGUCCCAGUUGAAUUUGCGAGAAAACCAAGGAGACUUUCAGAAAGAUUAAGGAUGGAAAGCAACAGAACUGAGACAGUUUCUUCUGUAUACUGGUCCAGUUGUUCUUCGAGGUGUGUUGGCAGAUGAAGUGUAUAGCAAUUUUAUGUUGUUAUCAGUUGCUAUUAGCAUUUUGGCAAAUCCCACAUUUUGUUUUAUGUUAAAUGACUUUGCAAACACAUUGCUUGUCUCAUUCGUCGAGCACUUUAGUCAGUUAUAUGGUCCAGAGUUUGUAGUGUACAAUGUACACAGAUUAAUUCACCUCAGUGAUGAUGUUAAGCAUCACGGACACUUGGACCUUAUUUCUGGAUUCCCAUUUGAAAAUUAUCUACAGAAAUUAAAGAAAAUGGUUAGAAAACCACACAGCCCUUUAACUCAAAUAAUUCGCAGGGUUUCUGAAAUGGAAAGCAUAAAUCCAAAAAACACUACUGAAACACAAGACUAAAUUGGAGCACAGAGAAGGGCCAUUGCCACAGUUGUUUACAGGAAGAGUGUGUCAGUUUAUAGAAUUAGUUACUGGUGGUGUUGUUAUCAGGACGUCAGAAGGAGACAACUGCAUUAAGUUUAACAAAGAAGUUAUUUUAGUACAGAACAUAGUCCUUUAUCAAGACAAAGUGUACAUAGUUUAUAAGGAAUACAGCAGAAAAGGGACGUUUUUUGAUUACCCCAUUGAUUCUUGUGAAUUGGGGGUUUUUGUUGUCUCACGUUUGUCUUCAGAUCUCAGAUAUGCAAGGCUUGAGGAAAAUGUGCCUGUGACCAAAUAUUUUAGGAUGCCACUUGAAGUUCAGGGUAGGUUUGCUGUUUUCCCCCUUCUGCAUUUGCAGUAAUAGGACAGGAAUAUGUUUUUCCCAUUUGCAUGUUAGCAGAAGAGGUAUGUACCACAUAGUGAGCUUUGUGGAUACAGAAGAAGUAGAAGUUGUCCCAGCCCUCUGGGUGAAAGAUGGUGUUUGCCUGUGGCCUCCAUAUAAGAGUGAAGGUGUCCAGAGGGCAACCAAAAUGCAGGAGCAGCCUGGUGACAACUGGACCACAUACAACAUAGAAGUGUUAUAUACAGCACAUAAUUACAAUGAAGCAUGAAGAAAGCUUCCACUUGCAGAGCAACAAACUGAUCUCCAGUCAGAAGCUGAGAAUGAGUCACUGAAGCCACAUAAAAGGAAAAUACAACCAAACAAACGCCUGCUUGAAGAUGGAUAUAACACUGAUGAAGAGACCUUGGUUCCCAAAAAGAAUGUCUUACCUCAAGCCCCCAGAAUAAAGCAACCAUUUAAAAAAAUCCCUGCAUCACACCUAGGGUUGCAACGGUAUGAGAUUUUCACGGUAUGAUAACCGUCUCAGAAAAUACCGCGGUAUCACGGUUAUCACGGUAUCACAGUUUGUUACAUAUAUUAUUAAACUGACCCUUAAAGAAAUUACAACAAAGGUUUUUUGUUCAAUUAACUAUUUAUUGUAGAAACCUGGAACAACUAUAUAGAUAAUGUCUCCUUAAAAAAAAUAAACUGUACACCAUUAGGUGAAGGAAACCAGGUUUUUCCACUACUCUUAAGGUCAUUAAGGGUGUAUAUAAUUAUAUAUAUAUAUAUAUAUAUAUAUAUAUAUAUAUAUACACACACACACACGUGUCACACAUUACAUGUCCUCUAAGAAGUAAAGAUCCUGUGUUUAAACUAUUCAGUACAAUUAUUUAAGUUUAAAUUAUUUAAUAUCUGAUAAACUGAGCCUGGGUCAGUGUCUGAUCAACAACUGUUGUAAACGUCCGUUUUACUGCCAAGUUGGUAUAUAACCAGAUAGAGGGGAUUUAUUUCUGAGUCUGGUUUUAACACAUGAAAAACAGGCACGUCAGAAUUUGAAAAUUAACGCAUGUAAAUGAAUGGCGUCUUUCACAUCCAGUCCGGCGAGCACCUUUACACGGACACGUGAAUCCGUCGUAGCACGCACUUCACGCCUGUACCUGCGUGCCCAAAUUUCGGAUAACUCCGCGCUUUUGCGGGCGCUUACCGCAUGGGUUAUGCACGACUACAAAGAGAUUUUAUUUAGGUUCAGAUUAAAAUUAUUAACUAAACACACUAACUAACUAAACAUACUUUGCGCUGCAGAGCGGGGUGGUGUUCUUGGAGAUGGGAGAACAGGUUUGACGUAUGUCCACCUUUAGCUGUGACUUUACGGCCACAUUGAUUAUAAAUCGGAUAACCUCGGGUGCGUUCGGCGGGUCUCUGAAAUAUUCCCACACUGCUGAUUUUAGUUUAGCCUUUUUUUAGGCGGACGGAGAUUUGUUUAUUCUGAUGCACUUUCUGCUGUUCUCACCGCUGUGUGCUGAGCAGCUGAAGCGGAGCAGAGUUGCGCAUGCGCGGGUGAGUUUCUCCGCUGGCUUGCGUUUUACCGGUAAUAAGCAAACACACACGGUAUGAUAACCGUGCAUUUUAAUACCAUGGUAUACCGUGAAACCGGUUACCGCUGCAACCCUAAUCACACCCUUUUGAGUUACAUCCACAUCCUGGCCCUCAGAAACAAAGCAACUCUACCUCAUCUCUGUUGCACCAAAUGUCUUCAGAUCAACCAUUGCACUGUGCAACAUCAACUUCAGCCUCAUCAUUCCUGUCAGCACCCUCACAGUUGGGCCUAGAAAAUUCAACUGAAAGGCAUAGGGAAGUUAGUCUUGGUGCAUCUCUGCGCAAGGCUAUUGACAUAUCAGGCCACCCAGGAAUCCCUGGUCAAACACGUGAACAGUUUUGGCAAGAAGACCCUUAUGAAGAACAAUCGCACAUCCAGAGUCAUCAAAUAAACUAAUCAAAUAAACAUCAAAUAAACCAAUACAGCCCCAGCACCAGGCAGCUCAAUCAGUAUGGCAGCAGGAAGCCACUCCAGGAUCAUCCAAGGAAACACCUCAACUUCAGAAGCUAAGAAGUGCCUCAGUUUGUGAGCAAAAAUUUGCAACACUACUGCAUGACCUGUUGACAAAGCAGGAAGUAAUAAUUGAGCAACAAAGGAACUUGAUAAGGAUGGUCCAAGAUCUGAAGACUACCAGCACCAGGGAAAACGCAGUUGAUUGUGACUUGGAUCAAAGGCACUGUCCUGUUGAAGACCUUUCUUCACUUAUGGCUCUAGAAAAUGAUCUCCGAUCCUCUCCAGACAAGAGAAAAAAACUGAAGCUGUAAGAAGAAACUCACUGUGUGCCAAUGCCACUGAGAUGGAGGUUGAACGAGUAAUAAGAAGAUGGUUUCAUCUUGCUGGUGACUGGGAGGGUGGGAGAAAGAGGAGGAAAGAAAUUGCAGAAGACAUGGAGAGCAAUACAUCAGGGAAAAACAACAUAUAAUAGAAUGGACACUACAAUGCCGCACUGGAGAGUGCAUGAAGACAACGGACUGUAAAGUAAAGCAAACUCAAACCACCUCAAAACACUGGACUGUACAAAAAUCACACUGGGGACUUCCUCAAAACACUGGACUGUACAGGAAAGGACACAGGAGACUACCUCAAAACACUGGACUGUACAAAAAUCACACUGGAGACUACCUCAAAACACUGGACUGUACAAAAAUCACACUGGAGACUACCUCAAACCACUGGACUGUACAAAAAUCACAAUGGAGACUUCCUCAAAACACUGGACUGUACGAGAAAGGACACUGGAGACUACCUCAAAACACUGGACUGUACAAAAAUCACAAUGGAGACUUCCUCAAAACACUGGACUGUACGAGAAAGGACACUGGAGACUACUUCAAAGCACUGGACUGUACAAAAAUCACACUGGAGACUACCUCAAAACACUGGACUGUACAAAAAUCACACUGGAGACUACCUCAAAACACUGGACUGUACAAAAAUCACAAUGGAGACUUCCUCAAAACACUGGACUGUACGAGAAAGGACACUGGAGACUUCCUCAAAACACUGGACUGUACGAGAAAGGACACUGGAGACUACCUCAAAACACUGGACUGUACGAGAAAAUAUGCUGGGGACUUUCUCAAAACACUGAACUGUACAACAAAGGACACUGGAGACUUCCUUAAAAACACUGGACUUUACAACAAACUAUGCUGGAGAGUUUUUCAGGAUGAUGGGAACUGGUGACUGCAUCAAAAGAAUUGUGAUUUUUUUUUUUUAAUUAUUAUUAUUAUUUUUUCAAUUGAGGUCUAAGCUUUUUUUUAAAGCCAAGAAGGUGCGUGUUUACUUUCUAGUUUUAAGGCUUGAAUGUUGCUGCUUAAUGCAGCAGACUACCAGUUCCUUAUGGUUGUGUUAUGAUAGUUAUUUCUGUGGAAAAAAAAAAACAAAGAUCAGUUAACCGAUUUAAGUAGGCUUCCCCUCUCCAUCUCCUCAGAACAUUGUGAUCAAACUGUAUUCUUAAACACUGUUUGUGUGUUUUGAUUUCCAGUUGAUGCAUUGUCGCAUUGCUCAUUGUACCCUUUUACAGUUCUAUAGGGUAUAUUAAAUUAAAAUAUGUUAUGAGGUAAUGUGUUAGGCAACUCUAAGUUUCAGUUGUCCUUUUGCAGUAUUGCUCAAAUGUCAAUAAAUUCUUUGUUUAAAUAAAUUCCUCAAAUUGA